rnacentral:rRNA from 1 species
GGGAAAAGCUCAAAUUUCGAAUCUGGCGGUUCGUCGGGACCGUCCGAAUUGUAAUCUAGAGAAGCGUCUUCCAGCUCCGUGCCGUGUACAAGUCUCCUGGAAGGGAGCAUCAUGGAGGGUGAGAGUCCCGUCUUUAACCCGGUCCGUCGGUGCUUUGCGAUGCGCUCUCGACGAGUCGAGUUGUUUGGGAAUGCAGCUCAAAUAGGGUGGUAAACUCCAUCUAAAGCUAAAUAUGGGCGAGAGACCGAUAGCGAACAAGUACCGUGAGGGAAAGACGAAAAGAACUUUGGAAAGAGAGUUAAACAGUACGUGAAAUCGUUGAAAGGGAAACGCUUGAUGUCAGUCUCGUCGGUCGGGGAUCAACCUUUGCUCUUCUGCUGGGUGCACUUCCCGGUCGACGGGUCAGCAUCAGUUUCGAUCGUCAUACAAGGGCGAGAGCGAAUGUGUCAUGCUCCGGCAUGUGUUAUAGCCUCUCGUCGUACGUGUCGGUCGGGACUGAGGAACUCGGCGUGCGUCUCGCGCGUGCGUCCAGGAUGCUGGCGUAAUGGCCUUAAGCGACCCGUCUUGAAACCCGGACCAAGGAGUCCAACAUGCCUGCGAGUGUUCGGGCGGAAAACCCGAGCGCGCAAUGAAAGUGAAAGUCGAGACCUUCGUCACUGGAGGGCAUCGACGCCCGGAUCGAAGUCUUUCCCGACGACGUCUCCGCGGUAGAGCAUGCAUGUUGGGACCCGAAAGAUGGUGAACUAUGCCUGAAUAGGGUGAAGCCAGAGGAAACUCUGGUGGAGGCUCGUAGCGAUUCUGACGUGCAAAUCGAUCGUCAAAUUUGGGUAUAGGGGCGAAAGACUU